GCUAAGCGACUGCGGAGGACAUUACCUAGAGUUUGUAGACUUCGGUCUGCUACCUCUUACCCAUGUCUUUUGAGUACUUUCGUUUCCUCGGCGGGUCCGCCCGCCGAUUGGACAACAUUCAAACCCUUUGCAGUUGCAAUCAGCGUCUGAAAAAACAUAAUAGUUACAACUUUCAACAACGGAUCUCUUGGUUCUGGCAUCGAUGAAGAACGCAGCGAAAUGCGAUAAGUAGUGUGAAUUGCAGAAUUCAGUGAAUCAUCGAAUCUUUGAACGCACAUUGCGCCCCUUGGUAUUCCAUGGGGCAUGCCUGUUCGAGCGUCAUUUGUACCUUCAAGCUCUGCUUGGUGUUGGGUGUUUGUCUCGCCUCUGCGUGUAGACUCGCCUUAAAACAAUUGGCAGCCGGCGUAUUGAUUUCGGAGCGCAGUACAUCUCGCGCUUUGCACUCAUAACGACGACGUCCAAAAGUACAUUUUUACACUCUUGACCUCGGAUCAGGUAGGGAUACCCGCUGAACUUAAGCAUAUCACUAAGCCGGACGAAAC
rnacentral:rRNA from 1 species